UCAGGAUUCAGGUGAGAUGAGACAGACAGCAGGGUUCCAGAACAGGCCUUCAGGACUCAGGUGAGAUGAGACAGACAGCAGGGUUCCAGAACAGGCCUUCGCCUUCAGGACUCAGGUGAGAUGAGACAGACAGCAGGGUUCCAGAACAGGCCUUCGCCUUCAGGACUCAGGUGAGAUGAGACAGACAGCAGGGUUCCAGAACAUCAGGGAUCAUCAGAGAUUCAGCAAUCACACCUGACAACCCUUUAGCAGUGUGACAUUGUUGUAUUUACUGUGUCGUUACUGUAUUGGGUAACUACUAUGUGUCUUAUCUAGAACUACUUACUAUGUAACUACUUCGUGUACCUACUAUAUUAUAACUUUAUAACUAAAUAUAUUCUCUCUCUCUC
rnacentral:lncRNA from 13 species